UACGUAGGGUGCGAGCGUUAAUCGGAAUUACUGGGCGUAAAGCGUGCGCAGGCGGUGAUGUAAGACCGAUGUGAAAUCCCCGGGCUUAACCUGGGAACUGCAUUUGUGACUGCAUGGCUAGAGUGCGGCAGAGGGGGAUGGAAUUCCGCGUGUAGCAGUGAAAUGCGUAGAUAUGCGGAGGAACACCGAUGGCGAAGGCAAUCCCCUGGGCCUGCACUGACGCUCAUGCACGAAAGCGUGGGGAGCAAACAGG
rnacentral:rRNA from 1 species